rnacentral:rRNA from 1 species
CGGACGGGUGAGUAAUGUAUGGGGAUCUGCCUGAUGGCGGGGGAUAACUACUGGAAACGGUAGCUAAUACCGCAUAACGUCGCAAGACCAAAGAGGGGACCUUCGGGCCUCUUGCCAUCGGAUGUGCCCAGAUGGGAUUAGCUAGUAGGUAAGGUAACGGCUUACCUAGGCGACGAUCCCUAGCUGGUCUGAGAGGAUGAUCAGCCACACUGGGACUGAGACACGGCCCAG